rnacentral:rRNA from 1 species
UUGAACGCUGGCGGAAUGCUUUACAUAUGCAAGUCGAGCGGCAGCGCGGGGGCAACCCUGGCGGCGAGCGGCGAACGGGUGAGUAACAUAUCGGAACGUACCCUGUCGUGGGGGAUAACACAUCGAAAGGUGUGCUAAUACCGCAUACGACCUGAGGGUGAAAGCGGGGGAUCGCAAGACCUCGCGCGACAGGAGCGGCCGAUAUCGGAUUAGCUAGUUGGUGAGGUAAAGGCUCACCAAGGCGACGAUCCGUAGCGGGUCUGAGAGGACGACCCGCCACACUGGAACUGAGACACGGCCCAGACUCCUACGGGAGGCAGCAGUGGGGAAUUUUGGACAAUGGGCGCAAGCCUGAUCCAGCAAUGCCGCGUGCAGGAAGAAGGCCUUCGGGUUGUAAACUGCUUUUGUACGGAGCGAAAAGGCUCUCUCUAAUACAGGGGGCUCAUGACGGUACCGUAAGAAUAAGCACCGGCUAACUACGU